rnacentral:rRNA from 1 species
AGAACGAACGCUGGCGGCAGGCUUAACACAUGCAAGUCGAACGGUUGUAGCAAUACAGCAGUGGCAGACGGGUGAGUAACACGUGGGAACCUUCCUAGGGGUACGGAACAACUCAGGGAAACUUGAGCUAAUACCGUAUACGUCCGUGAGGAGAAAGAUUUAUCGCCCCUAGACGGGCCCGCGUAGGAUUAGGUAGUUGGUGAGGUAACGGCUCACCAAGCCUACGAUCCUUAGCUGAUCUGAGAGGAUGAUCAGCCACACUGGGACUGAGACACGGCCCAGACUCCUACGGGAGGCAGCAGUGGGGAAUCUUGGACAAUGGGCGCAAGCCUGAUCCAGCCAUGCCGCGUGAGUGAAGAAGGCCUUGGUUGUAAGCUCUUUACAGGGACGAUAAUGACGGUACCUGGAGAAUAACGCCCCGACAAACCUCGCGCCAGCACGCCGC